rnacentral:lncRNA from 1 species
GCAACACCAGAAUUUUGGUUGGGCUAUCAGGUCUUCAAAGGUUACCUUGUGUGUUUGCUGGAAAGGAAAGUUGAUGUGACCCAGCAAGUGCAACUGGAGUGGCCAUUUCUAGAAGCACAAGAAAAUGUUAAGGAACGCUGAUAAGUUUACGACGUCCCCACCAUCAAAAAGCCCUGCGUGCUGGUACCAAAGAGCAGUGCUGAAACAAGCUCUCCAAUUUCCAAUGAGUGGAAGUUCUUGCUGCCCCGACUUUUCAGCUUCUGACCUAGCCCUGGCAAUCAGGCUUUUGAAACCUAGGCUUCCCACAGCAAGAAGUCUCAGAGGUCUUUGCUGGUGCGUUUCCAAAGCAGACGCCUGUUUAACAAGGAAUUGCAGCAGGGGAUGCCUGUUUGCUUCUCUCAGCUACUGAGGAGGAAAGAGGUGAGGGUUCUCGAGAGUAUUCAUUCUGAGUGCUGGACAAUGAGCCAUCCGGCAGGGUGUGGUGCGCAGACAUAAGGCAUGGGAGGAGAUCGUGGGGAAUGUUAGCAAGCCAAUAGACCUUUUCUUCCCCAAACUGGGCAACUGCAGUUUGAUUUGUUCCAGCUGUGGCAAAGGCACCUAGUGGUUUCAGUAGUGGGGCCAUCAACCCUUUGAGAUGGUUAUUUCAAACAUCGUGACAUUUUGUGACUUUGUAAAGAACACAGAGGUGUUG